AUCAAGUGCCUUAAGGGUGUUC
rnacentral:rRNA from 1 species